GACGAACGCUGGCGGCGUGCUUAACACAUGCAAGUCGAACGAUGAAACCUAGCUUGCUAGGUCGAUUAGUGGCGAACGGGUGAGUAACACGUGACUAACCUGCCCCUUUCUCUGGGAUAACGCUCCGAAAGGAGUGCUAAUACCGGAUACUCACACCGAGGCACAUGCCUUGGUGUGGAAAGUUUUUCGGAAAGGGAUGGAGUCGCGGCCUAUCAGCUUGUUGGUGAGGUAACGGCUCACCAAGGCGACGACGGGUAGCCGGCCUGAGAGGGCGACCGGCCACACUGGGACUGAGACACGGCCCAGACUCCUACGGGAGGCAGCAGUGGGGAAUAUUGCACAAUGGGCGCAAGCCUGAUGCAGCGACGCCGCGUGAGGGAUGAAGGUCUUCGGAUUGUAAACCCCUUUCAGUAGGGACGGAGCGAAAGUGACGGUACCUAAAGAAGAAGCACCGGCUAACUACGUGCCAGCCGCCGCCGUAA
rnacentral:rRNA from 1 species